rnacentral:lncRNA from 1 species
UUAUUUUUAGGAGUUGGCUCAUGCAAUUAUAGAGGCUGGCAAGCCCAAAAUCUUUAGGGUUGGCCAGCAGGUGGUAAACCCAAGAAAGAGUUGAAGUUCAAAUCUAAAAGCAGUGUGCUGGCAGAAGCACACUCUGUGGGGAUGUCAGUCUUUUCCUAUGAAGGCUUUCAACUGAUUGCAUGAGGCCCACCCAUAUCAUAGAGAGGAACCUGCUUACUCAAAGUCUACUAAUUUAAAUGUUAAUCUAAACCUAUAUAGCUUCACAUAGAUAUCAAAAAUGUUUGGCCAAACGUCCAGGUACUAUGGCCUAGCCAAGGUGAUAUAUAAAAUUAGCCAUCACCAUACCUUUGUGAAUGAGGACAUACCAAAUAAGCAGCAGUACAAGGAUUUAGCAAUGUGAGUAAUAUAUUACAGAAACACUUUAAUUUCAUAUAUUUGUUUCUGUGUAUUUACGCACAUGUGUGAUACCUAUGUAAUUGAACUCGGUACCCUAAGAGCACAGAUUACAGAAUUCCUUUCUGUGGCCCAUGCCAUAUUUAACAAAUACCGAUCAUAUAUCAUGUAUAAGCCCACAAAAAAGAACAAGACAAAAAUUGUAUAAAUCACAGUGAAUAUGCUCAAAUUUAAUUCCACGGUUUAUAUUGAAAGGCUUCAAUCACUUUGAAAUGAUCUUAAAAUCCACUCUCUUAAAUAAUUCUUAGGCCAAAGCAGAAAUGAAAUUUUCAUAUGCACAUGAUCUCAAAAAGAAUAAUAGGAAGGUUUUUGAUUAAUAUAUAUUGGAUGAGUCCAAAAUUAAUCUCAAAGAAAAAAACAAAUCUCAAACACUUUCAUCAUUAAACACAAAUGAAUGGAAAUAUUCCCUCUUUUAACUAAAGAAUUAAAAAGGGAAAUUCUAAAUGAAUUAAAACUGACUUAAGAAUGAGGAAAAUUUAAAUAGAUAAAUAAUCCAGAAAUAAAGCUGGUAGUGUUCUCAAAAAAUUGAUCACCUUCAAUAACAAGGUCAAGCCCCGAGAAUAUUACAACCUAAGGUAUUUCAAACUUUUAAGAGACAGAAAACUUCCAUGUCACAGAACAUGUAACAUUUCAUGAUUUCUGAAUCAUUUUAGUAAGCUAGAAUAAGCCUGAUUUUGAAAAACAUCCUGGCAAAGUUAACCUCCCAAACUAUAAACCAAUUAAUUUCCCUUUUGAAAAUAGACGCAAAACAAUUUAAAGUACAAAUAAAAGGACUAUUUUAAUAACACAUUUAUUUCAAGAUUAUAACCUAUAGUGUUAUUUCAUUUAAAAUAAACUCAUAUUUGAUGAAAGAAAAGAAAACAUUUGAUAAAAUUCAAGUAAGCAUUGGAGGGAGUUAAUAAGAAUGAGUAUAUCUCUUAGACAGAGUGGUCCAACAUGAAAUAUAACAGGUCACUUGCCAAAAAUGUAGAAUCCUGAGUCUCAUCUCAAACCUAGACCCUAGAAAAAAAUUCCUAGAUUCCGCAUUUUUAAUGGAAACCCAAAUAAUUUUUUUUUUUUAAUUUACUUGUUUAUUUGAGAGAGACAGAGCAUGAGUGGAGAGAGGGAUAGAGGAAGAGGGAGAACAGACUCCUCACUGAACAGGGAGCCAUAAGUGGGACUGGAUCCUAGGACCCUAGAUCAUGACCCAAGCCAAAGGCAGCUGCUUAACUCACUGAGCCACUCAGUUUUUUGGGUGCCCCCAAAAGCCCAAAUAAUUCUUAUGUGCACCAAAGUUUGAGAACCACUAAUCUAAACCAAUCUAGCUAAUGGUAUAGUUAACAUUGAAAUAAUAGAAGCCUUCCCAGUGAAAGUCAGGAAAAAUAUAAUGUGUCUGUUUUCAGCCCAAUUUAAUUUCCUCAACUCUGAAAAUGUUUGGUUAUUGAAAUAAAAGACACAAAAUAAAUAAUGGAUAUAAGUAUUUGAAAAUAAGAUUUCACAUUAUUAUUAUUUGAAUGAUUAUCAUUGGGUAAAUUCCAAUUAACUAAUAAUCCUUCCUAUGAAUAAGGGCAUUCAGUAAGUUAGUUGGAUAAAAAUUGAAUGUGUAAAAAUAAAUAACUUCCUUAUAUACUAGCAACAACUGGCAAGAAAAAUAAUGGGGAGAAAGGAUUCAAUUUAUAAUAGAAAAAAAUAGAUGUAUGGGAAUAAACUUAUCAAAAAUUGUUUAGGGUCUUUAUAAAAAAGAAUUUAAAACUUUACAAAGGCACAUAAAAGUAUAUUUGAAUAAGCAGAGAGAAAUAACAUUUCUUAGGAAGAAAGACUUAAUAUCAUACAGUACCAAUUAACCCAUAAAUGAUUUAGAAAUCAUACACCAAAUGUAUAAAACUGGAACACCAUUGUCUAGAAAAAUAAAAAUACAAGACUAGCCAUAAAAAUUACCAUAAAGAAAAAUGGACACAAAAGACUAGCUAAGAAAAUCAUGGAAACCAAUGACAGGGGCUUACUCCACCUGAUAUUAAAAUCUAUCAUAAAGCUACAGGAAUUAAAAUGAUUUAUUAUUGAUCCAGAAAGAGCUGGAAGAGUCAGACACCAAAGAUCAUUUACCUGGAAGAAUGAAAAGUAUCAUGCUUUCUUGGUUCUUUUUGCAUCCCCUUCACGUCUGCAGUCUCUGGGAGCUGGGGUGCUCCAGGGCUCCAUCCUGAAAAUCUCUCCUCUCUGUUACACUUAGCCCUGGCUGGUCUCAUUUCUUUUCAGGGCUUCAAAGCCCUUCUCUGAGUGUUUGAACCAUACAUUUUAUUUCUAGCACCUAUCUCCCCUAAAACUCCAGAUUCUCAACCCCAUUUGUCUGCUCAACAUCCUCCUUGGAUGCCAUGUAAAUGUCACCAACACUUUUCUCCCUAGCUUCCCAAACUGAGAAACAGGCACCUCCAUUUUUUCUGUUGUUCACAUCAAAAACCCUAGAGACAUAUAUUUUUUAUUUCUCUUUUUCUCUCAAACUCUGUAUCUAACCCUUUAGGAAAUCUUGUGGACAUACCUGCAACAUGGAUCUUGAACACCACCACUUCUCAUCACCUCUUUGUUGCCAUUCCAAUCUAAGCCCUGUAAUCUCUUCCAUGGGUCACUGCAUAUUUGUCCCCCUGUGUCCCCUCUUAACCUCCUUCAGCCAAUUUUCAAUAUGGCAGUGAGAAUGAUUCUUGGCAACUCAGUGACUGGCCACACCAUUCCUCUUGCUCAGAACCCUCUAAAGAGCUUCCAGUAAUGCUUAGAAUAAAUAUCCUUACCUUGGUCCACAAAGACCCAUAUGUUCUGCUUCUGGCUCUAGUGGUGUACUGGUAAACAAUUGAUAACCAGUUCUCAAAAAAAAUGUAUACAUUUUUUUGUGCAUACAGUCAUAAGUUUAUUAUAAAUUUUACUGAUAAAAAAAGGACGUAUAGCACACAGUUUGCAAAUACUAAUAAACUCUACAGUUCUCACCGUUGUAAAUUCCACAUACCAAAUUGAUUCUCAUAAAAUUCCAUUGUUUUUUUGCCAAACUCCUGGUAUCCUGACCAAACCUAUGGCUGCAAUGGACCAAUCAACACACUUCUGAAAUAAAUGUUGAUUAAUAUAUAUCUUUACACCAAAGAGUAAGGGAAAAGGAAAGAGUGAAAAAUGUGAGAUGGAACUUCCCUUGGUCAUCAGAGAUGCAAACAACUUUUUUGCUGAUAAUAAUUUUUAAAUACUAGAGGAAUAUUUCCUAAAUGUUUUGUGUUCUUCACAAUGCAGCAGCUAAAGACAAGACACGUUUUUAAGUUUAAUAGGCAUCCUUAACAGUUUCCCCAUCACUGUGAAUCUAGACACCAAUAAAACAACAAGUGAAGCCCUGUUUUGUAGAAUUUGCUGAUUUCUGUGGUGUAAAUAUUCUCAACUGACUUCAAGCUACCAACAUGAUGCCACUGAGCAUGAAGUUGGGAAGAGAUGUGUGGUAACACCACACUGUGGGAUAGACACAGUUAACCUCCAGAGCAGAGAAAAUGGUCAAAUGUAGAAAAACAAUUACAAAUGACAAAAUUUGAGUACUUGUUUCUUCCUUUUUAAUACAAUGUACUUAGUUAUAAGUUUACAUAAUUUUAUUUUUAAUAAUGGCUAUGUUUAGCAAUGGACUCCUGAAAGUCCUGAAAAUAUGGCAGUGGGCUCUGCUGAGCAGGUGAGAACAGCCCCCAGCACACCACCACCUGGCUUCCACUCCAUUAUCUUCACUCUGCUCCAGCCACAACUGGUCUCCUUGCCCCCUUCCACACAUCCAGCACUCUUCCACCUCUGGACUUCUACAUUUGCUGUUCUCUCUGCCUAA